rnacentral:rRNA from 1 species
GCAAGUCGAACGAGAACGUCCCGGCUUGCCGGGAUUAGUAAAGUGGCGCACGGGUGAGUAACACGUGAGUAAUUUCCCUCUAAGCUUGGGAUAACAUUGCGAAAGCGGUGCUAAUACCGAAUAAGACCACGGUAUCACAGGAUACAGUGGGAAAAGAUGGCCUCUGUAUAUGCUAUCACUUGGAGAUAAGCUCGCGGACCAUUAGCUUGUUGGUAGGGUAAUGGCCUACCAAGGCUAAGAUGGUUAGCUGGUCUGAGAGGAUGAUC